rnacentral:rRNA from 1 species
CUCGUAGGUGGCCAACUAAGUCAGACGUGAAAUCCCUCGGCUUAACCGGGGAACUGCGUCUGAUACUGGAUGGCUUGAGUUUGGGAGAGGGACGCGGAAUUCCAGGUGUAGCGGUGAAAUGCGUAGAUAUCUGGAGGAACACCGGUGGCGAAGGCGGCGUCCUGGACCAAUACUGACACUGAGUGAGCGAAAGCCAGGGGGAGCAAAACG